GACGAACGCUGGCGGCGUGCCUAAUACAUGCAAGUCGAACGCAGUGGGGACGGGUGAGUAACACGUGGGUAACCUCCCAUCAGAGGAGAUAACACUUGGAAACAGGUGCUAAACCGAUACUGAUGGAUGGACCCGCGGUGCAUUAGCUAGUUGGUGAGGUAACGGCUCACCAAGGCCACGAUGCAUAGCGGACCGGAAGGGGUGAUCGGCACACCUGGAAUUAGAAACGGGCCAAACUCCCACGGAAGGAAGAAGAAGGAAAUCUUGGGCAUGGGAGGAAGGUCUACCCAGGCAACGCGCGUGAAGUAAGAAGGUUUUCGGAUCGUAAAACUCUGUUGUUAGAGAAGCGGUAUCUAACCAGAAAGCCACGGCUAACUACGUGCCAGCAGCCGCGGUAAUAC
rnacentral:rRNA from 1 species